UACGUAUGGUGCAAGCGUUAUCCGGAUUUACUGGGUGUAAAGGGAGCGCAGGCGGUGCGGCAAGUCUGAUGUGAAAGCCCGGGGCUCAACCCCGGUAUUGCAUUGGAAACUGUCGUACUAGAGUGUCGGAGGGGUAAGCGGAAUUCCUAGUGUAGCGGUGAAAUGCGUAGAUAUUAGGAGGAACACCAGUGGCGAAGGCGGCUUACUGGACGAUAACUGACGCUGAGGCUCGAAAGCGUGGGGAGCAAACAGG
rnacentral:rRNA from 1 species